GGGUUGUGAGGUUAAGCGACUAAGCGUACACGGUGGAUGCCCUGGCAGUCAGAGGCGAUGAAGGACGUGCUAAUCUGCGAUAAGCGCCGGUAAGGUGAUAUGAACCGUUAUAACCGGCGAUUUCCGAAUGGGGAAACCCAGUGUGAUUCGUCACACUAUCAUUAACUGAAUCCAUAGGUUAAUGAGGCGAACCGGGGGAACUGAAACAUCUAAGUACCCCGAGGAAAAGAAAUCAACCGAGAUUCCCCCAGUAGCGGCGAGCGAACGGGGAGGAGCCCAGAGCCUGAAUCAGCAUGUGUGUUAGUGGAAGCGUCUGGAAAGGCGCGCGAUAC
rnacentral:rRNA from 1 species